AUGUGCUGCCAGCACUAUACUAACCCCUUUGCCCCCCUCCCCAUGCACACACGCAAAGAGAUUAAAAAGUAUUUGCAAAUACAACAUGCACUCCCAACACUAUAUAAACCCUUUCCUCCUCCUCCUCCUGCACAUAGGGUAUUUGAAUCCUCUCAAAGACAAAUGAUCAGGCACCACCUUUGCCACCUGACCGUGCUUGCAAUGGAAAUUCCAGGGGCAUCAUCUUGGCGCUCCAUGGCCAUGUCGUCAACCUCACUGCUAAAGCGAUGCAGUGGCAUAGCACAGUCGCGAAAAGGGUGCCGCUACGACCCAGAGAGAGCCGGCAUCGGGAUUGUCUCGGCUAUUAUGGAACCAACCAAUGCACACCUACACAUCGUCGGGCCUCUCAUCCACACCAACGCACAUGAGAUCCUAGAGGUUACACUGCCAAACCUUAUUUGGAGCAAUAGGAGGCCAUUCCGAGCAGCCAUACUUUCAUGUGGUCUAUGCCGCAGCUGGAUCGGUAGUGGCACCGUCUACAUGUACAAAGGUGAGACGGGAUUCUGUAAACCGGAGUGUGUCAACGACUAUAUUGUGGAGCAAUUGGAAAAACAAACACGGAGGCUGAGGUGGUGUCAAAGAGAAAAGGUCCCACCAAUGGAGGACGAUAAGGAAGGCAAUCAGAGCUCCAUGUUCUUCACCUGCGCUGGUAGCCUAUGA
rnacentral:rRNA from 1 species